GAUGAACGUUGGCGGUGUGCCUAAUACAUGCAAGUCGAACGGAGCUAAUAGCAAUAUUGGCUUAGUGGCGAACGGGUGAGUAACGCGUUGGUGAUCUGCCUUGAAGUGUGGAAUAACGUUCCGAAAGGAUCGCUAAUACCGCAUGUGCUCUCGAUUUUCAGAAAGUUGAGAGUAAAGGAUUUAUUCGCUUCAAGAGGAGCCUGCGUCCCAUCAGCUGGUUGGUAGGGUAACGGCCUACCAAGGCUAUGACGGGUAGGGGACCUGAGAGGGUGGCCCCCCACAAUGGAACUGAAACACGGUCCAUACACCUACGGGUGGCAGCAGUAGGGAAUAUUAGAAAUGGACGAAAGUCUGAUCUAGCAACACCGCGUGUGCGAAGAAGGCCCUUCGGGUCGUAAAGCACUUUUGGAAGGAAUAGGAAGGAAUGUACUUCCAGAAUAAGUCUCGGCUAACUACGUG
rnacentral:rRNA from 1 species